rnacentral:rRNA from 1 species
UUUACGACUCAUACUCCUAAGAGGUAUUUCUCUGAUUAAUGUUCAUUGAGGGUUUAUCAAGCAUAUAGCUUAAACAAUAAAUAAAGUUUGAGAGAGUUUAUUGUGACAUGGUAGUUUAUGAUAGUAAACGUAGGGAUGCUAAAAAUCUAGUUAAAGUUGUGCCAGCGGCUGCGGUUAAACAGCUAGAGCGCUUGAUGUAUUAAUUGCUGAAUUUAAUAAGGGAUUUGUAGUGGUGAAAUAUGUGUAGGUCUUUAAAAGAGCUGAAAGAUGAGAUUUCGAGUCAGAUUAGAUACCUGAGUAGACCAUUUAUAGAGAUGAUAUGGGGAAUAUCUAAAUAAUGUGGCGGUGUUCUUGAUAGGUAGGGGGACUUGGAGGGGAUAAUAAACCUGAAGAAUAGUAAUUUAUUAGCUGCUUGUAUGAUUGAAUACUCUUGAAGAUGGGUGUUUAAAUGUCAUAGGGGGUGUGUUUUGAACUCUGAGUUUUAUGGGUAAUAAAAAUAAAGGAUUUACGAGUAGUUGGUAGAGAAUGAAGGCAUCAAGGAUGAGUACAUAUCGCCCGUCAACACCUCAAAGGUGUAAGUCUUAACAUAGUGAUUCUACUUGAAAGU